UGUAAAAUGGGGAUAAUAAAAGUAAAUAAGAGUAUCUACCCAGAGAAGAUUAGCAUGGCCUCUGCGCAAGGAUGACACGCAAAUUCGUGAAGCGUUCCAUAUUUAA